rnacentral:rRNA from 1 species
AGAGUUUGAUUAUGGCUCAGGACGAACGCUGGCGGCGUGCUUAACACAUGCAAGUCGAACGAUGACGAUGGUGCUUGCACCGUCUGAUUAGUGGCGAACGGGUGAGUAACACGUGAGUAACCUGCCCUCCUCUUCGGGAUAACCGCCGGAAACGGUGGCUAAUACUGGAUAUGAAUGCCUGCCGCAUGGUGGGUGUUGGAAAGAUUUAUCGGUGGGGGGAUGGACUCGCGGCCUAUCAGUUUGUUGGUGAGGUAAUGGCUCACCAAGGCGAUGACGGGUAGCCGGCCUGAGAGGGCGACCGGCCACACUGGGACUGAGACACGGCCCAGACUCCUACGGGAGGCAGCAGUGGGGAAUAUUGCACAAUGGGCGAAAGCCUGAUUGCAGCGACGCCGCGUGGGGGAUGACGGCCUUCGGGUUGUAAACCUCUUUCAGCAGGGAAGAAGCGAGAGUGACGGUACCUGCAGAAGAAGCGCCGGCUAACUACGUGCCAGCCGCCGC